rnacentral:rRNA from 1 species
CCUACGGGUCGCAGCAGUGGGGCAUAUUGCACAAUGGGCGCAAGCCUGAUGCAGCCAUGCCGCGUGUAUGAAGAAGGCCUUCGGGUUGUAAAGUACUUUCAGCGAGGAGGAAGGCAUUAAGGUUAAUAACCUUGGUGAUUGACGUUACUCGCAGAAGAAGCACCGGCUAACUCCGUGCCAGCAGCCGCGGUAAUACGGAGGGUGCAAGCGUUAAUCGGAAUUACUGGGCGUAAAGCGCACGCAGGCGGUUUGUUAAGUCGGAUGUGAAAUCCCCGGGCUCAACCUGGGAACUGCAUUCGAAACUGGCAAGCUUGAGCCUUGUAGAGGGGGGUAGAAUUCCAGGUGUAGCGGUGAAAUGCAUAGAGAUCUGGAGGAAUACCGGUGGCGAAGGCGGCCCCCUGGACAAAGACUGACGCUCAGGUGCGAAAGCGUGGGGAGCAAACAGGAUUAGAUACCCGUGUAGUC